GAUCCUGGCUCAGGACGAACGCUGGCGGCACGCCUAACACAUGCAAGUCGAACGGAGAAAAUAGCUUCGGUUGUUUUCUUAGUGGCGGACGGGUGAGUAACACGUGAGGAACCUGCCUUUGAGAGUGGGAUAGCUUCUGGAAACGGAUGGUAAUACCGCAUAACAUAGCGAAACCGCAUGAUUUUGCUAUCAAAGUAUUUCGCUCAGAGAUGGCCUCGCGUCUGAUUAGAUAGUUGGUGAGG
rnacentral:rRNA from 1 species